rnacentral:rRNA from 1 species
GUGAGUAACCUGCCUUUCAGAGGGGGAGUAACGUUCUGAAAAGAAACGCUAAUACCGCAUGAGACUACAGAGCUGCAUGGCUCAGUGGUCAAAGGAGCAAUCCGCUGAAAGAUGGACUCGCGUCCGAUUAGAUAGUAGGCGGGGUAACGGCCCACCUAGUCGACGAUCGGUAGCCGGACUGAGAGGUUGAACGGCCACAUUGGGACUGAGACACGGCCCAGACUCCUACGGGAGGCAGCAUG